rnacentral:rRNA from 1 species
AUGAUCGCCCUAGCCUAGAACUGCCGAUGAUUGGGGUUGGACUCGGCAGUGGGCGAACUACGAGACCUGAUUAGGUCAUACAACCCAGCGGUGGUGUUUUUAUCAGAAACAAAGAAGAGGUCAGGGGCAAUGGAGAGGCUCAAGUGGAGCAUGGGGUUCAGACAAGGGGUAGCGGUGGAUUGCAAAGGUAAAAGUGGGGGACUAGCACUAUGG